AGAUGAGGAGGGCGAGGAGGCUCUUUGGCCCAGAGGGUGAUCGAUCACGGAGUAUCACCCCAGGUACGGGUGCUAAUGAUACACUACCAUCUCCGGAUGCAGAUGCGGGUUAUUCAUCACCCGUCCCGUCUGAUGCAGCACUAGAACUAUCCCCCGAUGCAGCCAAGAGGAAUGAGGGCGAUAAUUCGGAUGAAUAGUUCUAAUUUGUUCGUUGGUCCUUGCUCGACCUAAUUGAAUGCAUAUAUUAGGGUUCUUGUGCAUAGAGCGAACAUUAUCAACCCUUAUUUUCAUUUCCGAGAACUACCAUGGACCGCAUACGAGGCGAUAUGGACUGAGCUUAUGACUGCUUCUGCCUUGAGGACUUUGAGGGGGCUUG